rnacentral:rRNA from 1 species
UACAGAGGUCUCAAGCGUUGUUCGGAUUCAUUGGGCGUAAAGGGUGCGUAGGCUGUGCAGUAAGUUGGGUGUGAAAUCCCUCGGCUCAACCGAGGAACUGCGCCGAAUACUGCUGUGCUAGAGGAAGAUAGGGGUAAGCGGAACUGAUGGUGGAGCGGUGAAAUGCGUUGAUAGCAUCAGGAACACCGGUGGCGAAGGCGGCUUACUGGAUCUUUUCUGACGCUGAUGCACGAAAGCUAGGGGAGCGAACGGG